CCAGGCCUCUAGCAGGGUAGGAAGACAUCUGAGUUCAAAUCCCAACACCAGUUACUGAACAACCUUGGCCAAGGUCCCUGACCUCUCUGUGCCUCAGUUUUUAUCAUCUGUGAAAUGGGGAUAAUAGUCAGAACUACCUUAAAGAGUGAGACUUAAAUGAGCCCAAACAUGAACAUUUCUUAGAACAAACAUACUCAGCGUUUAGUAAUCAUUGUUUGGCCAAUGCCACCUCAUUGUUACGAUGUAUGGCUCAUAGUAAUACUGUCUCUUCUGCCCAGCAGGGCACCCAUCAGAGCCCCAGCAGUAGCACUGGACUGAAAGCGCUGAGCCCGUAGCGCCCGUCUCCGUCGCCCAUGACUCCAGGGGUGGGGGCCCCCACUUCACCUCUCCUGGCCUGUUUCUCCUCCUGUUGGGUGGCUGCCCUCCCCUCCCAGCAUGUGUGGGAGUCUGCACGUGUCUGUCGGAUGUUUUUCCUCCCGGUUGAUGCUAGAGUGUCCCUAGCCCUGGGUCUGCCCUGGUCCCGGUUUGUUGAAUGAACACGUUCCCUGGGGAAGGUGGGUGAUGUGCGGUGUGGCUGUCCCAGGACACUGUGCAAUUCUCUCAGGUGGCAGGCCCUUGCCGUGGGCCUGAUGUUCCUCAUCCCAUUCAAUUAAUUCUUCAAACCUAAGAUGAGCCCCUUCCCGUCUUAGAAGAAGGGGGCUUGAGUGACAGGUCAAGAGGGGGGGCUUCCGUUCUGCUGAAAGCCCUGGCAGCUUGGAAAGCUCCUAAGGGUGAACCCCCAAGCCCACCACCCUUCCACAAACCUUCCAGAAGAGAUCUGAGUUCUGACUCUGGCUCCAGCUGUUUAGUCCUGGACUAAACACCCCUCCCCAUUCUCCAGGUCUUAGUGUCCUCAUCAGUAAAACCAGAGCGAUCCUCUCUACAUAGCAGGUUAGCUGUGGGUACCUAGAUUGUGCGUUGGCACAAAGGAGAACACUCAGCACACAGCCCACGUGGCGCCUGCAGCCAUAACUUUCACUGUGACGAGCCACAGGCCACGUUCACGGCCGAACUUCUCACUGGUCACAAUCCCAGCUGUGCGUCCAGUUUCCCUGCCCCUCAGCAGGCAGGCUUCUCAGCUUGGAGCAUCUCAGUUGUCACCCCUCUGACCUUGUCCUUUUUCCCUGCUGGGUCCCUGCAGCCUCCUGGGUGGGAGGACGUCCAUAGAGGUCGCAGACAGUGAUCAGUUCGAAUGCUCGAUCCUGUUCCACACAGUUGUGGCCCCUUAAGCGGGCUACUCACCCUCUCUGGGCUUCUUCUCCUCUAAACUGAGGACUGAGAACACUAAAUUCUGGGGUGGUGACGAGGAGUGAAAUGGUAGCUCUUGUGUUAAGCGCCUGGCACAGAGCAGAGGCUCAGAAAGUAACAGGUGUUCCUCCCUCUUCUCCUGACAUUCCUGGAUUCACCAUCCCCACUCUCUCUGUUUUUCUCCUUUCUCCUCCUCUUCUUCCUCCAAGGAGUCAGUCUU
ensembl:lncRNA